rnacentral:rRNA from 1 species
AUGAACGCUGGCGGCGUGCCUAAUACAUGCAAGUCGAGCGAACGGACGAGAAGAUUGCUUCUCUGAUGUUAGCGGCGGACGGGUGAGUAACACGUGGAUAACCUACCUAUAAGACUGGGAUAACUUCGGGAAACCGUAGCUAAUACCGGAUAAUAUUUUGAACCGCAUGGUUCAAAAGUGAAAGACGGUCUUGCUGUCACUUAUAGAUGGAUCCGCGCUGCAUUAGCUAGUUGGUAAGGUAACGGCUUACCAAGGCAACGAUGCAUAGCCGACCUGAGAGGGUGAUCGGCCACACUGGAACUGAGACACGGUCCAGACUCCUACGGGAGGCAGCAGUAGGGAAUCUUCCGCAAUGGGCGAAAGCCUGACGGAGCAACGCCGCGUGAGUGAUGAAGGUCUUCGGAUCGUAAAACUCUGUUAUUAGGGAAGAACAUAUGUGUAAGUAACUGUGCACAUCUUGACGGUACCUAAUCAGAAAGCCACGGCUAACUACGUG